GAUGAACGCUGGCGGCGUGCCUAAUACAUGCAAGUCGAGCGAACGGACGAGAAGCUUGCUUCUCUGAUGUUAGCGGCGGACGGGUGAGUAACACGUGGAUAACCUACCUAUAAGACUGGGAUAACUUCGGGAAACCGGAGCUAAUACCGGAUAAUAUUUUGAACCGCAUGGUUCAAAAGUGAAAGACGGUCUUGCUGUCACUUAUAGAUGGAUCCGCGCUGCAUUAGCUAGUUGGUAAGGUAACGGCUUACCAAGGCAACGAUGCAUAGCCGACCUGAGAGGGUGAUCGGCCACACUGGAACUGAGACACGGUCCAGACUCCUACGGGAGGCAGCAGUAGGGAAUCUUCCGCAAUGGGCGAAAGCCUGACGGAGCAACGCCGCGUAAGUGAUGAAGGUCUUCGGAUCGUAAAACUCUGUUAUUAGGGAAGAACAUAUGUGUAAGUAACUGUGCACAUCUUGACGGUACCUAAUCAGAAAGCCACGGCUAACUACGU
rnacentral:rRNA from 1 species